rnacentral:rRNA from 1 species
GAGUNUNAUCCUGGCUCAGGAUGAACGCUAGCGGCAGGCCUAAUACAUGCAAGUCGAACGGUAGAUUACUUUCGGGUAAUUGAGAGUGGCGAACGGGUGCGUAACGCGUAUGCAACCUACCCUAUACAGGGGGAUAGCCCGGAGAAAUCUGGAUUAAUACCCCAUGGUACCAAGUUGAGGCAUUUUGAUUUGGUUAAAGAUUCAUCGGUAUAGGAUGGGCAUGCGUCUGAUUAGCUAGUUGGCGGUGUAACGGACCACCAAGGCGACGAUCAGUAGGGGUUCUGAGAGGAAGGUCCCCCACACUGGCACUGAGAUACGGGCCAGACUCCUACGGGAGGCAGCAGUAGGGAAUAUUGGGCAAUGGACGAGAGUCUGACCCAGCCAUGCCGCGUGCAGGAAGACGGCGUUCUGCGUUGUAAACUGCUUUUAUCUGGGAAGAAAAUGCCCUUGCGAGGGAAAUUGCCGGUACCAGAUGAAUAAGCACCGGCUAACUACGGU